rnacentral:rRNA from 1 species
ACGUAGGUGGCGAGCGUUAUCCGGAAUUAUUGGGCGUAAAGAGCGCGCAGGUGGUUGAUUAAGUCUGAUGUGAAAGCCCACGGCUUAACCGUGGAGGGUCAUUGGAAACUGGUCGACUUGAGUGCAGAAGAGGGAAGUGGAAUUCCAUGUGUAGCGGUGAAAUGCGUAGAGAUAUGGAGGAACACCAGUGGCGAAGGCGGCUUCCUGGUCUGUAACUGACACUGAGGCGCGAAAGCGUGGGGAGCAAACAGGAUUAGAUACCCUGGUAGUCCACGCCGUAAACGAUGAGUGCUAAGUGUUGGGGGUCGAACCUCAGUGCUGAAGUUAACGCAUUAAGCACUCCGCCUGGGGAGUACGGUCGCAAGACUG